GCCUUCGCGGUGUAGUGGUCAGCACGCUCGACGCGCAAUCGAGAGGUCCAUGGUUCGAUUCCCGGCGAAGGCG
rfam:Stegodyphus mimosarum contig17383, whole genome shotgun sequence.